rnacentral:lncRNA from 1 species
ACACUGCGCGCCCCUCACGUGGUCUCGCUACAGCCCCGUCGCCGGCGGAGGCGGGCGCGGGCGCGGGCGCGUCCCUGUGGCCAGUCACCCGGAGGAGUUGGUCGCACAAUUAUGAAAGACUCGGCUUCUGCUGCUAGCGCUGGAGCUGAGUUAGUUCUGAGAAGGUUUCCCUGGGCUGUCCUUGUCCGGCAGCCUCUGCUGUCGCCUCGAGAGACGCUUCCCGAUAGAUGGCUACAGGCCGCGGAGGAGGAGGUGGUGGAGUUGCUGCCCUUCCGGAGUUCGCCCCGUGAGGAGAAUGUCCCAGAAAUCCUGGAUAGAAAGUACUUUGACCAAGAGGGAAUGCGUAUAUAUUAUACCAAGUUCCAAGGACCCUCACAGGUAAGCAUACUUUUGUUUCCUCAGGGCUCUUCUAGAAAUUUAUAUUUAAUUUGUAGUGCUUUCUUAAAAAUAAAAAUAAUAAUCAGUAAAUUAUUUAUAAUUACUGUUGAUUUUUCUUCUUUUGGUAUUUGGAGGAGAGACAGCAUUGGCAAGAUACCAGUAUUUUGGAGUUCUUACUGACAAGUGUUCUAUCCUCAGCCUCCCUCAAAUCAGGCUAGUAUAUUACAAAAUAAGAGAGGCUUUCUAAUGUAACUUAUUCACUAAUAUUGAGAAGUUCAAGAUAAAUGCUUACCUGUUUACUUUUUGAGCACCUACUGAGACCCUAAUACCAGUUCAUGUUGAAGAAACCAGUACAGCAUUUAUAUAGAUUACCCAUAUUAUUAUGUUACAUGGAGUUCUUUUUUUCUUCAUUGCAUCUUUGAUCUCUUAUCUCGUGUCUAGUGUCCUUUCCCUAGCU